rnacentral:rRNA from 1 species
UGAACAAGGUUUCCGUAGGUGAACCUGCGGAAGGAUCAUUACAGUAUUCUUUUUGCCAGCGCUUAAUUGCGCGGGGAAAAAACCUUACACACAGUGUUUUUUGUUAUUACAAGAACUCUUGCUUUGGUCUGGACUAGAAAUAGUUUGGGGCAGAGGUUUACUAAACUAAACUUCAAUAUUUAUAUUGAAUUGUUAUUUAUUUUAAUUGUCAAUUUGUUGAUUAAAUUCAAAAAAUCUUCAAAACUUUCAACAACGGAUCUCUUGGUUCUCGCAUCGAUGAAGAACGCAGCGAAAUGCGAUAAGUAAUAUGAAUUGCAGAUUUUCGUGAAUCAUCGAAUCUUUGAACGCACAUUGCGCCCUUUGGUAUUCCAAAGGGGAUGCCUGUUUGAGCGUCAUUUCUCUCUCAAACCUUCGGGUUUGGUAUUGAGUGAUACUCUUAGUCGAACUAGGGGUUUGCUUGAAAUGUAUUGGGAUGAGUGGUACUGGAUAGUGCUAUAUGACUUUCAAUGUAUUAGGUUUAUCCAACUCGUUGAAUAGUUUAAUGGUAUAUUUCUCGGUAUUCUAGGGUCGGGCUUACAAUAUAACAAACAAGUUUGACCUCAAAUCAGGUAGGACUACCCGCUGAACUUAAGCAUAUCAAAA